rnacentral:tRNA from 1 species
GGUUGUAGCUCAGUGGUAGAGUGCUUGCCUAGCAUGUGUGAAGCACUGGGUUCAAUUCUCAGCACCA